AUGUGUGCUAGACUGGGAUGUGUUUUCUUCCACUGUACUGUUUACAUUGUUAUACGCUCUUUGGGAUACUUAUUUGCUGAGAUGGGAUACAUCCAGGAAUAUCAGUUUUCAGUUAUCAGUGAUAAUUUCAUGGACCAUGACAUCAUCCAGUUGUGUUGGACAAAGAAGUUUUCACCUCCAACCCUUUCCCCUCCCAGAAGAAUCUACCCCUUGACCUGCCAGCUGAAUUCACCUGCCUCAGUCAAAAGGAGCAAAGUUACUGAGGAACCGGUAUUUGUACUGUGUAAAGAAACAAACCCCAUUUUGUCUGAAACAGAAAAAAAUGUGAGCUUCAUCAGCAGAAUAAAGGUUUUUACCUUGGGAGGUACUGUGCUGCCAGUGAUGCUGUUAACCUAACUCAGCCUUUCUAAUUUUGUCCCUACGGUUACAAGUCACCUGGAACUGGAUCUUUGCAAGAGCACCAUGCUUAAACGAGUGAUCCUAGAUUUCUCUAAGUGAACAACCAGAGACAAACAAAUGUGGUAUCAAGAUAGAAAUCCUGGUGUGGGAAAGAGAAAUAUGGGCCAAAAAGAAAGUAAGUCAGACCUGUGGAAGAUAUCAAUAUAGUCUUUCCUUUGAAGGGUUCAAACACUGAAAAUGAAAAGUUAAAACACCCAUCCAAAGUUUAAAUGUUCACAUAUUUCAGAGACUUUUGGGGGGUAUUUCUCUCAGUCGCAGUAUACAAAUUUACAGGACUUGGUGUAUCUAAUUAGUCAUGCAAAAACAUGGACAUUAAAAGCAAUACCUAGAACCAGUGAGCUUUACAGCCCACAUGACUGGACUGCAGACAUCUCCAGGCAAAAAGUGGGAAAUGUGGAAGAAAUACUGGGCAUACUUUAAGAUGAUAGGGAAUACCUGUUAAGCAGAACACAAUUACAUAUUCUUAUUUCAGCCAGGAGUCUGGAAUUAACCCUGAGCUACCUGGGAAAUGUAGAGUCUGUUAAUAACAACAAGUAAUUGGCACCUGAAGUUUUACACCUCCUCUGCUUUUGUAUCCCCUGACAUCAUUUGGCUAUCUGUGUUUUGGGGUGCUUCUCAGUUUUUGUCCUCAAUCAGAUGCCAUUGCAGCUGUAUCCUUUAUGUUUCUAGCCUUUUAUCCAGGGAACAGAUACAAGAAAUAAAGCAAAUAAAGGACAGUUUAAUAGACUUAUU
rnacentral:lncRNA from 1 species